UCAAAUUUAAAAUCUGGCGGCUUUGGUCGUCCGAGUUGUAUCCUAGAGAAGUGUUUUCCGCGUUGGACCGUGUAUAAGUCUCUUGGAACAGAGCGUCAUAGAGGGUGAGAAUCCCGUCUUUGACACGGACUACCAAUGCUUUGUGAUACACUCUCAAAGAGUCGAGUUGUUUGGGAAUGCAGCUCAAAAUGGGUGGUAAAUUCCAUCUAAAGCUAAAUAUUGGCGAGAGACCGAUAGCGAACAAGUACCGUGAGGGAAAGAUGAAAAGCACUUUGGAAAGAGAGUUAAACAGUACGUGAAAUUGCUGAAAGGGAAACGAUUGAAGUCAGUCGCGUUAGCUAGAACUCAACCAGGCUUGCUUGGCGUAUUUUCUAGUUAACGGGCCAGCAUCAGUUUUGACUGCAGGAAAAAGGCCAGGGAAAUGUGGCACCUUCGGGUGUGUUAUAGUCUUUGGUCAUAUACUGCGAUUGGGACUGAGGUUCGCAGCACGCGCAAGCUGUGCUUAGGAUGCUGGCGUAAUGGCUUUAAACGACCCG
rnacentral:rRNA from 2 species